GAUGAACGCUGGCGGCGUGCCUAACACAUGCAAGUCGAGCGCAGAGACGAGGCGCUUGCUCCUCGGACGUUAGGGGCAGAGGUGUGAGUAACGCGAGUAUAAUGCCUCUAUAAGUCGGGGAAAACUCCGGGAAAGCGGAGCUAAUAGGGGAUAAUAUAGUGAUCCGCAGGGUUCAAUAGUGAAAGACGGUUCUGCUGUGGCUUAUAGAUGGAUCCGCGCCGCAUGAGCUAGUGGGUAUGGUCACGGCUUACCAAGGCAACUAGGCGUUGCCGACCUGAGAGGGUGAUCGGCCACCCUGGAACAUAGGGACGGGCCAGCCGCCUACGGGAGGCAGCGGUAGGGAAUCGUGCACAAUGGGCGAAAGCGUGACGGAGCGACGCCGCGUGGGUGAGGAAGGUCUGCGGAUCGUAAAGCUGUGUUAUUAGGGAGGAACAGAUGUGGAAGUAACAAUGCACGUCUUGACGGUACCUAGUCAAGAAGCGACGGCUAACUACGUG
rnacentral:rRNA from 1 species